UACAGAGGGUGCGAGCGUUGUCCGGAAUCACUGGGCGUAAAGGGCGCGUAGGUGGCGGGCCAAGUCCAUGGUGAAAGCUCGAUGCUCAACAUCGAGUCGGCCACGGAUACUGGUUCGCUUGAGCACUGUAGAGGCUAAUGGAAUUCCGGGUGUAGCGGUGGAAUGCGUAGAGAUCCGGAAGAACACCGGUGGCGAAAGCGCUCUGCUAGGCCGCAACUGACAUUGAGGGACGAAAGCUAGGGGAGCGAAUGGG
rnacentral:rRNA from 1 species